rnacentral:lncRNA from 1 species
UUACCAUUGAUGCGUCAUUCGAAUUGUUGUCAGAACGCCGUUCGUUCAGUUGCUUGUGGAAACCAUGGAUUUCAGAGCUGCGGUUGUCGCGCUGGUCUUGUUGUACAAACUUACUUGCAAGUUUCACCCCGAUAUCACGUCCUCUAAAACGCAUGCUGAUGUUCGGAAAUCAGGAUAUUUGAGCUCUUUGUGGAGAAACAUUAACAACGUCCUUCCCCCCACUUUUCUGGAGAAACCAGUUGUUCAGGAACCAGGGUUUUUCAGCUCUUUGCAGAGAAAAAUUGAUAACAUCCUUCCGAACUGUUUUCUAAAGAAUCCGGUCGUUCAGAACGAACCGAAAGGAGUUUGGUUCUUUGUGGAAAAAAAUUUCAGCACUUUGUGGAAAAAUAUUUCAGACGUCCUUUACACCUCUUUUCUGAAGGUAUUAUCACACAUCAUUCGAGAAACACAUU